CUAAAAUCUUACCACCAAACUUUUAGUCUUUCCGAAUAUCUCAAAAUUCUUUCCAUAGCAGGUAGAAGGAAAAAUAGACUGCACUGGACCGUCCAAAUGAACUCCAGGAUUGUGGGGAUCCUACAAGUGCUGCUCAAGUUUUCUACAGUGGGCAACAAAUGGAGGGCAAGGAGACUCCUCGCUGUUUAACUGGACAUCUUGGAAGCCACCACACAAAUCCAGCUGUGAUGGAAGAAGAAGCCCGUAUCCUGGGGUUGUUCAUCCCUGAGACUCAUCCUGUGUUGCCCAGCUUGGACUCCUCACCUGGAGGUUGACAGGGCUCAGCACCCGGCAGCCAUCAGGAUUCACCACCAUUUGUAAUGUGCGAGGUGUGUAGAUGGAGGACCUGUUACUUGGCAGCGACAGAGAAAUUUCUCCUCAUUUUUUCC
ensembl:lincRNA